GACGAACGCUGGCGGCGUGCUUAACCCCUGCAAGUCGAACGAGUGGCGGACGGGUGAGUAAUGUCUGGGAAACUGCCCGAUGGAGGGGGAUAACUACUGGAAACGGUAGCGAAUACCGCAUACCAUCGGAUGUGCCCAGAUGGGAUUAGCUAGUAGGUGGGGUAACGGCUCACCUAGGCGACGAUCCCUAGCUGGUCUGAGAGGAUGACCAGCCAAACUGGAACUGAGACGCGGGCCAGACGCCUACGGGAGGAAGAAGGGGGGAAUAUGGCACAAUGGGGGCAAGCCUGAUGCAGCCAUGCCGCGUGUAUGAAGAAGGCCUUCGGGUUGUAAAGUACUUUCAGCGAGGAGGCGUUACUCGCAGAAGAAGCACCGGCUAACUCCGUGAAAGGAGCCGCGGUAAUAC
rnacentral:rRNA from 1 species